rnacentral:lncRNA from 1 species
UUUUUGUGUAUAUUUCCACGUAUAUACUGUAUAUCAACGUAGAAAUCAGCAUAUUAACUCUCCAUAUUUCAUUGUACACUGUAUGGUGGUAUGCAGCUACGACUUUCAGUGUAUAAAUGCUGUAUAUCAACGUAUACCAGCCUGUAUAUGUGUGUUAUCCUGUGCACAUCAGUCCAAUUUUGGACUUUAAUGAGGCUCGACUUGACAGCGUUCAAAUGCAAGGAUAUGAGGAGUCCCAUUGGACUCAUCCGGAAGAGUUCAUG